UACGGGGGGGGCAAGCGUUGUUCGGAAUUACUGGGCGUAAAGGGCUCGUAGGCGGCCAACUAAGUCAGACGUGAAAUCCCUCGGCUUAACCGGGGAACUGCGUCUGAUACUGGAUGGCUCGAGAUUGGGAGAGGGAUGCGGAAUUCCAGGUGUAGCGGUGAAAUGCGUAGAUAUCUGGAGGAACACCGGUGGCGAAGGCGGCAUCCUGGACCAACACUGACGCUGAGGGAGCGAAAGCCGGGGGAGCAAACGGG
rnacentral:rRNA from 1 species